rnacentral:rRNA from 1 species
GACGAACGCUGGCGGCGUGCUUAACACAUGCAAGUCGAACGGAAAGGCCCUGCUUUUGUGGGGUGCUCGAGUGGCGAACGGGUGAGUAACACGUGAGUAACCUGCCCUUGACUUUGGGAUAACUUCAGGAAACUGGGGCUAAUACCGGAUAGGAGCUCCUGCUGCAUGGUGGGGGUUGGAAAGUUUCGGCGGUUGGGGAUGGACUCGCGGCGUAUCAGCUUGUUGGUGGGGUAGUGGCUUACCAAGGCUUUGACGGGUAGCCGGCCUGAGAGGGUGACCGGCAACAUUGGGACUGAGAUACGGCCCAGACUCCUACGGGAGGCAGCAGUGGGGAAUAUUGCACAAUGGGCGGAAGCCUGAUGCAGCAACGCCGCGUGCGGGAUGACGGCCUUCGGGUUGUAAACCGCUUUCGCCUGUGACGAAGCGUGGGUGACGGUAAUGGGUAAAGAAGCACCGGCUAACUACGUG